UGUUGGCAUCAUCGUGGACAAGACCUUGACACAAGAUGUUGUAGAUGUCAAAAGGGUAGAAGAUAGAAUCAUGGCAAUCAAGAUUGUAAUAGGACAAGAACUCAUCAAUGUGAUUAGUGCUUACGCACCUCAAGUAGGGUUGGAUACGAGUUCGAAGGAGAAAUUUUAGGAAGACCUUGGAGACUUGGUGCAAGGAAUUGCUCAGACGGAGAAGUUAUUUAUAGGAGGAGAUUUAAAUGGACACGUGGGCAGGGAGAUAGACAACUAUGGAGGUUUUCAUGGUGGCCAUGGUUUUGGGGGAGAGAAACGAGGAUGGGGAAGCUAUCUUGGAUUUUGCAAUGGCAUAUGAUCUCUUAUUAGCCAACACCUUCUUUAAGAAGAGAGAAGAACAUGUGAUCACCUACAAGAGUGGGUCGUCAAAAACACAAAUUGAUUUUCUUCUAAUGAGGAAAGGGGAUCGUAUAACUUGUAAGGAUUGCAAAGUUAUACCGGAAGAGAGCUUGGCUAAUCAACAUCGCUUGUUGGUUAUGGAUGUACAUAUCAAAAUAGUGAGAAAAAAGAACAAGACUUAGAAGUGCCCAAGGACUAGAUGGUGGAAUCUAAAAGGAGAAAAAACAAGCCAUUUUCAAAGAGAAAGUAAUCACCCAGUGUGUGUGGGAUAGAGAGGGGGAAGCUAGCCAAAGGUGGGAUUCCAUGGCUAGUUGUAUUCGAAAAGUAGCAAAAGAGGUAUUAGGAGAGUCCAAGGGCUUUGCUCCACACCAAAAGGAAUCUUGGUGGUGGAAUGAAGAGGUACAAACAAAGGUGAAGGCUAAGAAAGAAUGUUGUAAAGCCUUAUACAAGGAUAGGACCGAUGAAAAUGGUGAAAGGUAUAGAAGAGCGAAGCAAGAGGCGAAGAAAGCUGUGAGAGAAGCUAAGUUAGCAGCUUAUGACGAUAUGUAUAAACGACUAGAUACCAAAGAAGGAGAGUUGGAAAUCUAUAAACUAGCUAGAGCAAGGGAAAAGAAGACAAGGGACCUAAACCAAGUGAGGUGCAUCAAGGAUGAGGAUGGAAAGGUUCUUGCUAUAGAGAACGCGGUCAAAGACAGAUGGAGAGGUUAUUAUCAUAAUCUUUUCAAUGAAGGACAUGAAAUGGGUACUUCUUUAGGGGAGUUGAGUAACUCAGAAGAGUGUAGAAAUUACUCCUUUUAUCGUCGAAUCGGGAAGGAAGAAGUGGUUGUAGCUUUGAAGAAGAUGAAGCAUAGAAAAACAGUGGGCCCAGACGAUAUACUGAUCGAAGUGUGGAAAGUCUUGGGAGAGACAAGUAUAGCACGGCUCACUGACCUUUUCAAUAGGAUUUUGAAAACGAAGAAGAUGCCAAAUGAGUGGCGAAAGAGCACUUUGGUGCCUAUCUACAAGAAUAAGGGCGACGUAUAAAAUUGCAUGAACUAUAGGGGUAUUAAGCUAAUGAGUCAUACAAUGAAGCUCUGGGAGAGAGUCAUUGAGCAUAGAUUGAGGCAAGAGACACGGGUUUCGGACAACCAAUUCGGGUUCAUGCCAGGGCACUCAACCAUGGAGGCAAUCUAUCUCUUACAAAGAUUGAUGGAAAGAUAUAGAGAUGGGAAAAAGGAUUUACACAUGGUCUUUAUAGAUUUGGAAAAAGCGUAUGAUAGGGUCCCAAGAGACAUUCUUUGAAGGAUUUUAGAGAAGAAAGGAGUACGAGUAGCAUAUAUCCGAGCUAUAAAGGAUAUGUAUGAAGGAGCAAAGACUGACGUAAGAACUCAUGAAGGACAAACCGAAAGCUUCCCAAUAACUGUAGGAUUACAUCAAGGCUCAUCAUUAAGUCCUUACCUUUUGCGUUGGUAAUGGACGAGUUAACAGAACAUAUUGAAGAUGAUAUUCCUUGGUGUAUGCUUUUCGCAGACGAUAUAGUGUUGAUAGAUGAAACUCAAGAAGGGGUAAAUGCGAAGCUUAACCUUUGGAGAGAAGUGUUAGAAUCUAAAGGUCUUCGCCUAAGCCGAUCAAAGACAGAAUAUAUGGAGUGCAAGUUCAAUGCAAAUGGAGGCCAAAAUGAGUUAGGGGGUGAGGAUCGGAGAUCAAGAAAUACCAAAGAGCGACCGUUUUCGCUACCUAGGAUCUAUCUUGCAAAAGAACGGAGAAUUAGAUGGAGAUCUCAACCAUAGAAUACAAGCUAGAUGGAGGAAGUGGAAGAGUCAUUCCGGCGUGUUGUGUGACCGCCGUAUGCCACUGAAGCUCAAGGGAAAAUUUUAUAGGACGACAAUAAAGCCAGCAAUGUUGAAUGGCACAGAAUGUUGGGCGGUGAAGCAUCAACACGUACACAAAAUGGGUGUAGCGGAGAUGAGGAUGCUUCGUUGGAUGUGUGGGCACACGAGAAAGGAUAAGAUUAGGAAUGAGGAUAUCCGAGGUGAAGUAGGAGUAGCCAAAAUUGUAGGAAAGCUGAGAGAAAAUCGGUUACGGUGGUUUGGACAUGUGCAAAGAAGGCCUACUGACGCUCCGGUUAGAAGAUGCGACUAUGGGACAGAGGUUCAUGUUGAAAAUGUGCCCUAAAACCAAUCAUAUGAUGAUACUUUACAGACAUUUCACAUGUUAAACUAAUCUAGUUUAAUAUCAAGGGCAAAGAUUAUUGUUUGAGCCGUCUCAUAUAAAUGUUAUAUGCUUAAACGAUAAGUCCAAGGAAUAUGUGAUUGGGAGAAUGCAAUCUAAAGAAGUUAGAUUCAUGAGACCAUUCUUUCGUAGACACAUCCUAAACGUUCCUGAUCAUAGGAUUGCCAAUUGGGCAUUGACAGUCCGUUAAGAUCAGUACGUGCCAUGUCUUCUCUCAGGGAGAGUGACUAGUCUCGAGUCAUUGGUGUGUGUGACAUCAAGACAAGUACGUAGGUGCUCAAUAGAGAAUGAGUUCACUGAACACGAUCAAUGAAGAGUUCUCAUAUUCAUGUCACAUGAGAACUCAUGGUUGGGAUAAUGCAAAGUAGUCCUUUGACCUGAGGCAUCACGUUUGUCUUGUGGUUAAGUCAUUGAUCUUUGAUUAUGUCAAAGUCACCCCAUCCGCGGGUGUCCACGACAUCGUUGGGGUUAAGCCACUUAGCUAUGGAGGCAAGUGAAUGCGCAACAAGGGAUCUCUAACCUUCAAACCGUUUGGGGGAGAAUACUCUAUGAUAUGAUUUAGAAUCUCUGGCCAGAGUAUGAAUGAGAUUUAGAAAAGUCGUUCCAAAUCACAUUCAAGGUAAUCAUAUAAGCACACGAAUCACAUUGGAUAGUAGACAUGAAUAAACUAUCAAACCAAACAAUGUGGUCGAGAGUAUUGUAUUAGAGAAAGACCGUAUUGCAUUUGUAAUCCUAAACUGAAUAGGUUCUCUACCUCUUUUGAUUAGCUUGGGUAACCAUGAUAUGCUGCUAGGUGUCACUCUUGGUUUGUGGAAGCCCUAAACGUGUAUAAACACUAAAGGGAGAAUUGAAAGUAAGUUUUCAAUUCACAAUCGAUUUUAAAGAGUUUUAAUCGCCCACUGCCUCGCUAAAAGGAACCUAAUGGAUCGUACACCGUGUAAGGUGGAGAUUGAAGAAACAAUGGAGAUGAGUAAGAAUAAUUAAAUGGUUUAAUUAUUUAUGGCAAGGAUUAAUUAAUAUGUUAAUUAAUCAAACGAAUAAGUUCGUUAAAGACCUCGAGAUAGUUUUGGACCUUAAGGCCCAAUGGGCUUCGAACGUCAAGCCCAUUGACUUAAGUUGUAUGACAAUUUAAUGAAUAAAGAUUCACAAAGGCCCAAAAGCCCAAAUCCCUUAUAUGGCCGGCCAUGUGUGUUGAAUUAGGGUUUUUGGUUCUUAAGUCAUUUAAAGAAGUGACUAUAUAAACAACUUUAUAGCCUAAAAUUCAUUAUGGGUUCUUUUAGAGAAAAUUGGAGAGAACAUGCCUCUCCUUUUCUCUCUAGGAGGCCGGCCCCCUUGGAGGGUGUAUCUAGCAAUCCCACUCCUCCAAGAUCACUCAUUUCUACUUAAAUCUAACCUUGGUGUGGAGACUUAGAGGUUCUCAAUUUUGGGAACUUGGAGAACCAUAUUCUUCCAUCCAAAUCCCAUGGAUCUAAGAAGCAAGGAAUGAAGGCCCUCUCUUUGGGUGAUUAGCCUUUGCUUAUGCAAAGAGGAAUCUACAAAGGUAUAAAUUUCAACUCACUUUGUUUUGAGUUGAGUCUUGGUUCACCAAUCUACUAGGCUUUGAAUUUCAUGGUUAAUGUUUUGUUUUUGAAUGCAUGCAAGCAUGAUUCCGCCUUUUAAUUGUUAAAUGCAUGCUAUAGAUGUUAUUCAAAUGAACAUGUUUUCACAAAAUCAUCCUUCAGUUCAGGGCCGAAGGGGUAGAGGAAGACCUAGGAAAACUUUGGAAGAGACUCUAAGAAAAGACUUAGAGUACUUGGAUCUAACGGAAUACAUGACACAGGACCGAGCACAAUGGCGUUAUAAGAUUCAUAUAGCCGACCCCACUCAGUGACUUGGAUUUUUCAAGUCUCCAACCGAGAAGUUUUCCUCACUCAGGAAAUUAAAGGAAUACUACCUCAACCUACAUGCUCCACUCACAAAGCUUCAACAUACAAGCUUCAACAAAAGAAAAAUUGAAAGAACUUAGUGAAGAAGGUUUUGGUGUAUUUAACACAAUACGUUGAAAUGAAGCAAAGCUUAUUUAUUGAUAUCUCCGAUAAGUUACAAAUAUGUACAUAUACAUAAAUCAAAAUAAACAAACAAGAGGGAGCCUUCACAAAAGUUGCUUAGGAGAAGUCUCAGCAGUCGGUAGAGUCCCAGAAAGAGAAGGCAUCGGAGGGGGAUCAUUCGGAGCCUCAGUACUGGACAGAACCCUAGAAGGAGGAGGCAUCAGAGGUUGAUCAUUUGGAGCUUCAUUACGCGGUACAGCCCCAGAAGACGAAGGCAAUAAAUGCCUUUGGAACAAACCCACAAACCUCUGAUGAUCAAGUAAAAUCUGACCAUCAGAUUCCUUCAUCUGGUCAAGCUUCCUCUUCGUGUUUGUAGCAUAGUCAUGUGCGAGCCGGUGCAACUGUUUAUUCUCAUGCUUGAGCUUUCUAAUCUCCUGUUUAAGACUCAUCACUUCAGCCGCCAAUGAUUCAACUUGGCGAGUUCGAGCAAAUAGGCGUUGGGCCAUAUUAGACACAGAACCUACACACUGAACACUGAGAGCCAGAGAAUCCUUAACAACCAACUCAUCAGACCGUUUGGAAAGUAGUCUGUUAUCUUUGGGAGUGAGAAGGUUCCUGGUCACCACUGUAGCGAUGAUAUCAUUCUUCAUCACGGAAUCCCCAACGGUAAGAGGACCAGUAAGGGAUAAGAAAGAUGGGCGCCAUAUGUUGUAUGGAGAAGGUGUGGCUACCUCUUCAACAAGGUUCAAGUCAAAACAACAGUCGGAAGGGCCAGACAUUUUCAAAUGUGUUGAAGAGAGAAGAGGUCGGACAAAUCAAGAUCUUAGAAGUGCAAGAAAGGAGCUUCUACUGGUGGAGAUUCAAGUGUGCUUUGGAACUUAAUGCCAGCCUCUAUAAAAAUCUGCACUCGACAGAGCUUCAGAAAUCGAAGAAGCGCUUACUCAGAAAUCGAAGAGGCGUUUGCUUUCUUAAAAGCUGGGCUGCUCAGAGACCACAAAGGCCGAUCUCAAAAAUCGAAGAGGCGCUUGCUUUCUCAAAAGAUGGGCUGCUCAGAAACCACGAGGGCCGAUCUCAGAAAUCGAAGAGGCACCUGCUUUUUCAGCUUUGUCAGCACCUGUCACAUGCACACUCAGCUUUGCGAAAAUUACGGGCAUUCUGUCGAAGAUUUCUAGUGAAGUAGAAAGCACGUGGAUCUUACUGUUCAAUCAUCCACUUUCCACACGCAACAUCAGCUCAUGGGUACCACAGAUAACUUUGCCAAAGAUCUCUGACAAAGUUUAGACACGUGAAGCUUGCAGCUUCCACUACAUCGCUAUGACCAAGAAGGGUAAAAGAAUAGCAAAGAAACAACACUAACAAAGUUUAUACACAUAAAUUUUGAAGGUCUAGUGAUCGGAUCAUAUUUAUAUAUAUUUUUACUUCGAAUUCACUCGUCUUUUCUUAGUUAGUUCCUUAUAUUUUUGAGCUAUUUACGUUAUUUUUGUGUUUAUAGGAUUUGUUAUGCAAAGAAAAUAAAAAUAGAACAAGUGAAAUUUUAUGUAAUAAAUUCGUCAAAAGCAAAUUUAAAUUACAAUAUUGCCAACCCAUUGUGACGCUAAAUGAUAAACCAAUAUUUAAACUAUAUAUUUCAUCCUUUUAUAUUUCUUUUCUUGUCUUGUCUAAUUUAGUUAAAGCUUUAAGUAUUUAUGAUACUUUUAAUUUAUUGUGUUUGUAGGAGAAGAAAGUGGAAAGCACUGAGAAAUUAAAUAGAAGAAGUGGAGAGUUGUCGCGUGAGCAAUAGAGAAAAGCAGAAAACGUGAAAGGGAUCCAAGAGGGAGAGCUGCUUUGCAGCUGGACGCGGAGAAGGAAUCCAAGGAGUCAAAAGCAGAGAACAAGAGGUCAGAAAAGAAUAAAAGAAGGAGAAGUAGAUUGGUGCAAAAGGGGGGGUCUUGGAGCGGGGUGGACAGAGGGGCUGCCCUUUGGGCAGCUCGCAGACACGGCAGGAGCGAGAAAGGCAGAGGGCUGCCCUUUGGGCAGCGUGAAGCUGCGGAGAGGAAAGAGGAGCAGACAGCUGCCUUGCUGCAGCAGAAAACCGAGGAGGACUCGGACUGGGUGAGACGAGAGGAGAAGUCAGAGCAGCGUGGGAGCCAGGAGCUGACGUGGAGGUCAGGAAGAAGGCAGAACGAAGGAGGUCAGCGCACAGGAAGCAGAAACACUCUCGCUCUCGGUUAAAUCUUUCCAAACUUCUAUUUUAUUUCUGUUUUAAUAAUGUGUAAUUAAAUUUUAUUUGGCUAGAGGUUAAUUCAAAGCCAUGAAUAUAUUUGUAAUAUGAAUUGAUUACCUUCAGUUGUGAUUUCUAAGUUGUGAAUUUAAUUUACUUAUCUGUUCGUAUAAAAACUGAUUUGUGUAUGUUGGUUAAGAGUGCACGCUUAAUUUACAUGCAUGAAUUUGAUGCUAGAAUAUAAGUGAAUUUCACCUAAUCGUUAUGAACUUAUAUUCACAAGUAGUAAAGGUUGCUAGUCACAAUCACGUUAAGUAAAUUCUUGGCAUAAGUUUCAUGCAAAUCAUAGUAACGAGUGUCCCGUCAAUGCUUAUGUUUUUCAUAGAACUUAAUGAUUCUUGCUUGUAUCUCUAUUAUGCAAUCAUGUAGGGAACUUGUAGGGAAUGUUUUGGGUUGUCGUAUGCAAUCAUCCAACCCAAUAACUUGUGGAAAAACUGAGGGUUAAUUAGUGCAAUUCACGGUUAAUUUGGGGCGUUGAGUAUUCAAGCUUUAUUGAAAAGCAACUGAAAAUCAAUUUUGUAUGCAUAGUAUAACAUGUGUGGAGAAGAACCCUCUAGAUAAUCCGUCACCUAUCAUUUUUACCUUAAUUUCAUGUUUUUUGUCAAUUCUGUAAUUUAAUUUAAGUUUAAUUUACUUUUCAUCCAAAACCAAACACCCAUCCAUUAUUAAAUUAUAUUAUUUAGUUAGUUUUCAUUUAUUGUUAGUCUUUUAAUUUCAAUUUCCGUCCAUUUCAGUUCCUAGUGUCUAAUUUAAUUGUUUUCAUUAUUUUGAGUCAUUUAAGUGUGUUUCGAGUUAUUAGAGUUUUUAGCCUAGUUUUGUGUCCUUGAGUCUUAUUUAAUAUUUUUUAAAAUUAAUUUAGAAUAGAUUAGCAAUCCCUCCUAAUCCCCGGCUAGAACGAUACCCUACUUACAUCUAUACUACAAUUGUCAAAAAGAGGGUUUAAUUUGUGUGUCAAGUAAUUUGCGCACCAAAUUUUGGCGCCGUUGCCGGGGAUUAGCAACUUUGCUAAUCCUUUUAUUUUGUUUUUGUUUAUGUUUAUAUUGGUGUUUGUGUAUUUUACUUUUGAUAUUUGAUUUAUUUUUCUUUCUUUGAUUUUAGGUUCAAAAUGGAGCCGAGGGAAAUUUAAAGGAAAGAUGCGUCCGGCUAAAGACGUUAAAUCAAGCGCUUCUGGGAGGCAACCCAAGCAUUCAACGAAGGGAAACUUUGGAAUCACUAACCCAAUCAGCUUUGCAUUCUUCCACCCUUAUCUUACUGCUUUCAUUUUGUUUUGUUUAGUUAGUUGUGUUAUUUUGGUUGAUUUCUGUGAGUUUGUGUUAUUUAGUUUAAGUGUGGGGGAAGAUUAACCAAAGUCUCUUUACAUUAAUUUACAUUUAAAAAAAAAAAAAAAAAAAAAAAAAAAAAGAUAAAAUUUAAAAAUUAAUGAUAAAAAAAAAAAGUACAUAAAAAAAAUUUAAAAUUUAAAAAAAAAAAAUUUAAAAAAAAAAAAAAAGUACAAAUAUUUUACAAUAAUGUAAACUAAUAGUAUUCAUUGGUCGGGUGGUGCUUCGGUAGUAGGCGGGGCUUCAGCAGUCGGCGGGGCCACAGAAGGAGGAGGCAGCAGAGGUUGAUCAGUUGGAGCUUCACUACGCGGUGCCGCUCCAGAAGACGAAGGCAGAUGCGGUUGGAACAAANAAUCAAGAUCUUAGAAGUGCAAGAAAGGAGCUUCUACUGGUGGAGAUUCAAGUGUGCUUUGGAACUUAAUGCCAGCCUCUAUAAAAAUCUGCACUCGACAGAGCUCAGAAUCGAAGAAGCGCUUACUCAGAAAUCGAAGAGGCGUUUGCUUUCUUAAAAGCUGGGCUUGCUCAGAGACCACAAAGGCCGAUCUCAAAAAUCGAAGAGGCGCUUGCUUUCUCAAAAGAUGGGCUGCUCAGAAACCACGAGGGCCGAUCUCAGAAAUCGAAGAGGCACCUGCUUUUCAGCUUUGUCAGCACCUGUCACAUGCACACUCAAGCUUUGCGAAAAUUACGGGCAUUCUGUCGAAGAUUUCUAGUGAAGUAGAAAGCACGUGAUCUCUGUUCAUCAUCCACUUUCCACACGCAACAUCAGCUCAUGGGUCCAGAUAUUUGCAAAGAUCUCUGACAAAGUUAGACACGUGAAGCUUGCGCUUCCACUACAUCGCUAUGACCAGAAGGGUAAAGAUAGCAAAGAACAACACAACAAAGUUUAUACACAUAAUUUGAAGGUCUAGUGAUCGGAUCAUAUUUAUAUAUAUUUUUACUUCGAAUUCACUCGUCUUUUCUUAGUUAGUUCCUUAUAUUUUUGAGCUAUUUACGUUAUUUUUGUGUUUAUAGGAUUUGUUAUGCAAAGAAAAUAAAAAUAGAACAAGUGAAAUUUUAUGUAAUAAAUUCGUCAAAAAGCAAAUUUAAAUUACAAUAUGCCAACCAUUGUGACGCUAAAUGAUAAAACCAAUAUUUAAACUAUAUAUUUCAAAUCCUUUUAUAUUUCUUUUCUUGUCUUGUCUAAUUUAGUUAAAGCUUUAAGUAUUUAUGAUACUUUUAAUUUAUUGUGUUUGUAGGAGAAGAAAGUGGAAAAAGCACUGAGAAAUUAAAUAGAAGAAGUGGAGAGUUGACAGCGUGAGCAAUAGAGAAAAGCAGAAAACGUGAAAAGGAAUCCAAGAGGGGAGAGCUGCUUUGCAGCUGGACGCGGAGAAGGAAUCCAGGAGUCAAAAGCAGAGAACAAGAGGCAGAAAAGAAUAAAAGAAGGAGAAGUAGAUUGGGCAAAAGGGGGGUCUUGGAGCGGGGUGGACAGAGGGGCUGCCUUUGGCAGCUCGCAGAGACGGAGGAGCGAGAAAGGCAGAGGGCUGCCCUUUGGGCAGCGUGAAGCUGCGGAGAGGAAAGAGGAGCAGCAGCUGCCUUGCUGCAGCAGAAAACGAGGAGGACUCGGACAGACGAGAGGAGAAGUCAGAGCAGCGUGGGAGCCAGGAGCUGACGUGGAGGUCAGGAAGAAGGCAGAACGAAGGAGGUCAGCGCACAGGAAGCAGAAACACUCUCGCUCUCGGUUUAAAUCUUUUCCAAACUUCUAUUUAUUUCUGUUUUAAUAAUGUGUAAUUAAAUUUUAUUUUGGCUAGAGGUUAAUUCAAAGCCAUGAAUAUAUUUGUAAUAUGAAUUGAUUACCUUCGGUUGUGAUUUCAUAAGUUGUGAAUUCAAUUUACUUAUCCGUUCGUAUAAAAACUGAUUUGUGUAUGUUGGUUGAGAGUGCACGCUUAAUUUACAUGCAUGAAUUUGAUGCUAGAAUAUAAGUGAAUUUCACCUAAUCGUUAUGAACUUAUUUUCACAAGUAGUAAAGGUUGCUAGUCACAAUCACGUUAAGUAAAUUCUUGGCAAGAGUAUCAUGCUUUUCAUAGUUACGAAUGCCUCGUCAAUGCUUAUAGUUUUCACAAAGUUUAAUGAUCUUUGAUUGUAUCUCUAUUGUGCUUUUCACGUAGGGGACUUUUGAAGAAUGUUUUGAAUUGUUGUAUGCGUUUCGUUCAAUCGUCCAAUUCAAUAACUUAAGGAAAACUUGAAGAUUAAAAAAGUGCUGUUCACGGUUAAUCUGGAGUAUUGAGAUUCACAAUUUAUUAAAUGAACAACUGGAAAUCAUUUGUAUGCAAGUAUAACAUGUGUGGAGAAGAACCCUCUAGCUAGUCCGUCAUUUAUCAUUUUACCUUAAUUUUAUGUUUUUGUCAAUUCUGUAAUUUAAUUAAGUUUAAUUUACUUUUCAUCAAAACCAAACACCCAUCCAUUAUUAAAUUAUAUUAUUUAGUUAGUUUUCUUUAUUGUUAGUCUUUUAAUUUAAUUUCCGUCCAUUUCAGUUCCUAGUGUUUAAUUUAAUUGUUUUCAUUAUUUUGAGUCAUUUUAAGUGUGUUUUCGAGUUAUUAGAGUUUUUAGCCUAGUUUUGUGUCCUUGAGUCUUAUUUAAUAUUUUUAAAUUAAUUUAGAAUAGAUUAGCAAUCCCUCCUAAUCCCCGGCCUAGAACGAUACCCUACUUACAUCUAUACUACAAUUGUCAAAAAGAGGGUUUAAUUUGUGUGUCAAGUAAUUUUCGCAUCAAAUUUUGGCGCCGUUGCCGGGGAUUAGCAACUUUGCUAAUCCUUUUAUUUUUGUUUUUGUUUAUGUUUAUAUUGGUGUUUGUGUAUUUUACUUUUGAUAUUUGAUUUAUUUUUCUUUCUUUGAUUUUAGGUUCAAAUGGAGCCGAGGGAAAUUUAAAGGAAAGAUGCGUCCGGCUAAAGACGUUAAAUCAAGCGCUUCUUGGGAGGCAACCCAAGCAUUCAACGAAGGGAGACUUUGGAAUCGCUAACCCAAUCAGCUUUGCAUUCUUCCACCCUUAUCUUUACUGCUUUCAUUUUGUUUUGUUUAGUUAGUUGUGUUAUUUGGUUGAUUUCUGUGAGUUUGUGUUAUUUAGUUUAAGUGUGGGGGAAGGUUAACCAAAGUCUCUUUACAUUAAUUUACAUUUAAAAAAAAAAAAAAAAAAAAAAAAAAAAAAGAUAAAAUUUAAAAUUAAUGAUAAAAAAAAAAAAAUAAAAAAAAAAAAAUUUAAAAAAUUUAAAAAAAAAAAAUUUAAAAAAAAAAAAAAAAGUACAAAUAUUUUACAAUGAUGUAAACUAAUAGUAUUCAUUGGUCGGGUGGUGCUUCAGUAGUAGGCGGGGCUUCAGCAGUCGGCGGGGCCACAGAAGGAGGAGGCAGCAGAGGUUGAUCAGUUGGAGCUUCACUACGCGGUGCCGCUCCAGAAGACGAAGGCAGAUGCGGUUGGAACAAACCCACAAACCUCCGAUGAUCAAGUAAAAUUUGACCAUCGGUGUCCUGCAUCUGGUCAAUCUUCCUCUUCAUGCUGGUGGCAUAGCUGUGUGCGAGCUUGUGCAAUUCCUUUAUUCUCAUGCUUGAGCCCUUUAAUCUCUUGCUUUGAGACUCUGUAUUUCAGCCACCAACGAUUCAACGUGACGGGUUCGAGGCAUAUAGGCGUUGGGCCAUGUUGGAUACGGAACCGGCACACUGCACGCUAAGAGCCAGAGACUCCUUAACCGCCAAUUCAUCAGACCGUCCUAGCGAGCAGUCUGUUAUCUCUGGGAGUGACAAGGUUCCGGGCCACCACCGCAGCGUCAUGUCAUUUUUUCAUCACCGAAUCCCCCACGGUAAGGGGACCGGUAGGGGAUAUGAAGGAUGGGCGCCAUAUGUUGUCUGGUGAAGGCGGAGCUGCCUCUUCACCAAUGUUCAAGUCAAAACGACGAUCAGAAGGGCCAGACAUUUUUCAGAGAGUGGUGAAGAAAGAAGAGAGUCGGAAUGAUCAAGAUUAAACAAGUGCAAGAAGGGAGUGUUUACAGGAGGGUGCUCAAGUGUGUUGUGGAACAAGCUUAACGCCUCUAUAAAAAGAAGAAAUCAAAGAGGCGCUCCUCAGAGAAGCGUCCUCUCGCAAAUCGAAGAGUCGGAGUCUCCUUUCUCAAAAGUCGGAUUCUUUUCUCAAAAGAGGCGUUUCAUUUCUUAAAGGCUGGGCUUGCUCAGAAACCACGAGCCGAACCCCGGAUUUCAAAAGAUCAAUUUGUCCAGACGUGUCGUCACUUGUCACACGCAAAUUGCUUUGCGAAAUUCUCGGGCAGUUUGUCGAAGCACCAAUUCAGAAAUCGAAGAGGGAAAUUCAACAGUCAAAGACACGCUAGCUUUCUCAAAAGCUGGGCUUCAACCCACGGGCAAAUCUUCUUUUCCAGAUUUAUCCGCACGUGUCACAUGCUACCUCUACAAUCGACGAUGCUCAGAGCUCGAAGCGCCGAUUCCAGAUAUCAAUGAGGAAUCUGCUUUGCGGAAAUUACGGGCAGCUUUGUCAGAAAGCGCGUAAUUUGUACUAUUCAUCCAUCCACCGGCUGCCGACACUAAGUGAGAGAACAGUUCCGGUUGUGAAGACAAGUCCUAUAAGUUUCUACCUUCGCCUUCCACAGCAAAAGCACACUCUCUCAGCACACCCUCUCAACACUUCUUCAUCUCCGAAAAUGCAUUCCCAAAGAAUCCUCUCGAGUCACUCUGUGUUCCUCAUUCCUUGGGAUACUCCUGCGAACAACCCAUUCAAAGCAAAAGUAUUUCAUAUCAUGAAGGUUGAAAGCAAGAGUAUCUCAUAUCAUGCUUUCUUUCUCCCUUGUCCUUUCUCCAGCCAGCACCUUGCUCUCGAGUACUCAUCAUCUUGUGUUUUCGCUUUGUUUUCCUCACUUAUAAGGGAAGUGAAAAUGAUACCUCGAAGCAUGUGGAGACAACGUGCUGAUUCAUCCUCAACUAAGGACAAGGAGAAAGAAAGCAAGAGGUGGGCACUUGGAAAGAUUGAAGAAAGAAACAAGGACCAACACCUCUACCUCUCGUGCCUGCCCGCCAUGCAGAAGGAAACAAGCAGAGAAGAAUGCAGCUUGCACAAUCAUCCCAGCGGAAGGAGUCCGAGACUGAGGAACUAGAGAAGCUGCCACAUCUGCUUGGAGAACAAAUAAGGAACUGCAACAUUCCCAAAGAGCAAAGCCUCGCCGUACAAUAUCAUCAAAUCAUCACUUGCAAGUGAAAAGCUAAGUGUCACCCUGUUCAAGAGGAAAGCUGUGGAAAGUCAACAAGCACGACCAAUGAUUACUUAUUAGUUUUAUUCAUUAUCUUUUAUCGUAAUUUUCAAUUUUUCGUUUGCAAUUUUUUUUUUUUUUUAAUUAAUUUUCUUGCGUUACUUAACUGAAUUACUUUCUUUUCUUUGCAGGAACUUUUGGUUAUUUCCACCCUUGAAGUUGAUUGCAGAAUUUUAGCUUGGGGGUCAUCGCUUGAUUUUACUGCAAAUUAGGGAAGUUUUCAGUCCAAUUGCUUUUAUUUUGUUUCUUAUUAUUUAUUUAUUUUAUUUUUUAUUUUUUAUUUGCAUUAUAGUGUUUUCUGACAUUGGGGACAAUGUCAAGUUUAAGUGUGGGGGUAGAAAUCUCCAGAAUUUCAUUUGUUUCUGUGUUGUUGUUUUUUGUGUUCUUAAUUAGUUUUGUUUUCUUUAAAAAAAAAAAAAAAAAAAAAAAAAUCGGAAAAAUUUAAAAAAAAUCCAAAAAUAUUGUCUUGUUUCCCUUAUUGUUUUGAAUUAGUUUUUUGUUAGUUUCCCGACCCAAUGAUAUAAUUGGAUCAAUUUUGAAUCAUGAUUAUCAAGAACUUAGUUAACAUGUGUUUUGUGAAAUUCCUAAUUCUCUUGUUAGUUUUGUACAUGUUUGACCAUCUUUGAAAAACCAAAUGCACAUAGCCUUGUUAAUGUGAAACUAAAGCAUGACUUAAAGCUUCAUAUGUGAAUUUAGUGACCAUAUACAUCCUAUGUGAGUUUUUGAGCCUAUUGAAAGUGUGUGCAUUUUUCAUACACUCCUAUUCUUUCAUGUGUGAUGAACUUAUGUGAGAUACAUCUCUAGAACUUGCGUAACGAUCUUUCGAAAUGUUUGUCAUUGAUUGCAUGAACUUGGAAAUGAUAGAGGCAUUAGGUUUACCACUAUGGCCCAAAUAACCAUGUUUCCCAAAAAAAAAAAUGAUAUCAUUAGAUUGCCAAUUUGAGCCGUGUAUGUUGAGCCUUUUAUUUCUUAUCACCAGAUAUGUCUACCCUUAUACCUGAAACAUUUUUCCUUACCCUUUCCAAGCAAGCUAGUGAGCAAUGUGAGAUUGUUUUAUGAGAAACGUUUGUGAAGUACUUUGAAGGUGUUUGGCAAAAGAAUAAGUGUGGGGGUAUUUCAUGUUUGUAUAAAAAAAAAAAAAAAAAAAAAAAAAAAAAAAAAAAAGAAAAAAAAAAAAAAAAGAAAGAUUGUAUACAAAGAAAAUGAAAAGUUGUUUAAUUUUCAGUUUAAGGGUGUGGUUGGAGGUUUAAGAAGAAUCGCGGGAAAGCUUGAGUUCUUAUAAAUCUAAACAAAAGAAUUGCUUGCAAUGUAGCUUGGAACUUGUGUUUUCCUAUUCUUUCAAUAACCAUAUCCAUAAGCCUCAUUACAUCCAAUAAAAGUCCUCUUGAUUUAAGUUUUGCAAUUAUGACUAUGGAGAAGUGAUCUUUAUGCAAGCUUAUGGUAGAAAUUUCACAUUUGAUUCUUUGAGUGAAACACAUUAAAACUAAACACAUGUGUGAUUGAGUGCAUAUCCCGUGAGAAGGUCACUAGUUUGCAUAUGAUGAUUUUAAAAAUAAAAACUUGAAAUUGCAUUAGCAUGGCUAUCUCACACACUACACUUCAAGGAUGAUUUGAAAGACUUACUGCUAAUAUUUGAAUUAAGGAAGAUGAACUUGGAUUAACUUGUUUGUUUGAUGCUAGCUAUGGUUCUUGAUGAUUUGUUUUCUUAAAUGAAAUUCUAUGAGGGUCACAUAGGGGGAAGCUAAUGUUUUUUUUCUUGUUACUUCGUGUUCUUGUUUUCUUUCUUUGUUUUGCUCGAGGACUAGCAAAAGUUAAGUGUGGGGGUAUUUGAUCGGAUCAUAUUUAUAUAUAUUUUUACUUCGAAUUCACUCGUCUUUUCUUAGUUAGUUCCUUAUAUUUUUGAGCUAUUUACGUUAUUUUUGUGUUUAUAGGAUUUGUUAUGCAAAGAAAAUAAAAAUAGAACAAGUGAAAUUUUAUGUAAUAAAUUCGUCAAAAGCAAAAUUUUAAAUUACAAUAUUGCCAACCCAUUGUGACGCUAAAUGAUAAACCAAUAUUUAAACUAUAUAUUUCAUCCUUUUAUAUUUCUUUUCUUGUCUUGUCUAUUUAGUUAAAGCUUUAAGUAUUUAUGAUACUUUUAAUUUAUUGUGUUUGUAGGAGAAGAAAGUGGAAAGCACUGAGAAAUUAAAUAGAAGAAGUGGAGAGUUGUCGCGUGAGCAAUAGAGAAAAGCAGAAAACGUGAAAGGGAUCCAAGAGGGAGAGCUGCUUUGCAGCUGGACGCGGAGAAGGAAUCCAAGGAGUCAAAAGCAGAGAACAAGAGGUCAGAAAAGAAUAAAAGAAGGAGAAGUAGAUUGGUGCAAAAGGGGGGGUCUUGGAGCGGGGUGGACAGAGGGGCUGCCCUUUGGGCAGCUCGCAGACACGGCAGGAGCGAGAAAGGCAGAGGGCUGCCCUUUGGGCAGCGUGAAGCUGCGGAGAGGAAAGAGGAGCAGACAGCUGCCUUGCUGCAGCAGAAAACCGAGGAGGACUCGGACUGGGUGAGACGAGAGGAGAAGUCAGAGCAGCGUGGGAGCCAGGAGCUGACGUGGAGGUCAGGAAGAAGGCAGAACGAAGGAGGUCAGCGCACAGGAAGCAGAAACACUCUCGCUCUCGGUUAAAUCUUUCCAAACUUCUAUUUUAUUUCUGUUUUAAUAAUGUGUAAUUAAAUUUUAUUUUGGCUAGAGGUUAAUUCAAAGCCAUGAAUAUAUUUGUAAUAUGAAUUGAUUACCUUCGGUUGUGAUUUUAUAAGUUGUGAAUUCAAUUUACUUAUCCGUUCGUAUAAAAACUGAUUUGUGUAUGUUGGUUGAGAGUGCACGCUUAAUUUACAUGCAUGAAUUUGAUGCUAGAAUAUAAGUGAAUUUCACCUAAUCGUUAUGAACUUAUAUUCACAAGUAGUAAAGGUUGCUAGUCACAAUCACGUUAAGUAAAUUCUUGGCAUAAGUUUCAUGCAAAUCAUAGUAACGAGUGUCCCGUCAAUGCUUAUGUUUUUCAUAAAAACUUAAUGAUUCUUGCUUGUAUCUCUAUUAUGCAACUUCAUGUAGGGAACUUGUUGAAGGGAAUGUUUUGGGUUGUCGUAUGCAAUCAUCCAACCCAAUAACUUGUGGAAAAACUGAAGGGUUAAAUUAAGUGCAAUUCACGGUUAAUUUUGGGGCGUUGAGUAUUCAUAGCUUUAUCGAAAAGCAACUGGAAAUCAUUUUGUAUGCAAGUAUAACAUGUGUGGAGAAGAACCCUCUAGCUAGUCCGUCAUUUAUCAUUUUACCUUAAUUUUAUGUUUUUGUCAAUUCUGUAAUUUAAUUAAGUUUAAUUUACUUUUCAUCAAAACCAAACACCCAUCCAUUAUUAAAUUAUAUUAUUUAGUUAGUUUUCUUUAUUGUUAGUAUUUUAAUUUAAUUUCCGUCCAUUUCAGUUCCUAGUGUUUAAUUUAAUUGUUUUCAUUAUUUUGAGUCAUUUUAAGUGUGUUUCGAGUUAUUAGAGUUUUUAGCCUAGUUUUGUGUCCUUGAGUCUUAUUUAAUAUUUUUAAAUUAAUUUACAAUAGAUUAGCAAUCCCUCCUAAUCCCCGGCCUAGAACGAUACCCUACUUACAUCUAUACUACAAUUGUCAAAAAGAGGGUUUAAUUUGUGUGUCAAGUAAUUUUGCGCACCAUCUAGCUACCAUAUUAUUACCCAUAAGUGUAAAGGAAUAGCACCACUGCUGGAUAAUUGGAAAGUCCUUGUGUGUCAACCUCUGUGCCCCGUGGCAAGGUAGACUAGCAAACAUGCCCAACCUUUACUCACAUUCGAGAAAACACUUCCAACAAGAUUGUUUGCUCCAAAAUCGAAGAGGCACCGUCCUUCGAAUCUCGAGAGCCAGACUCCUAACAUGAUUACUUUCUCAAAAAUCGAAGAGACACCGCUCUCCGAAUCUCGAGAGCCAGACUCCCAGCAGGAUUGCUUUCUCAAAAAUCGAAGAGGCACCGUUCUCCGAAUCUUGAGAGCUAGAUCCCCGACAGGAUUGCUUGUUCAAAAAUCGAAGAGGUACCGCUUUCUCAACUUCGAGAGCCAGAUCUCCUUGGAUAAAGCUUGUUUGUAAUCUUCACAUGUAACAUCAGCUUUCCAGAUACCAUAGACCACUUUUUCAAAGUGCUCUGACAGAGUUAAAACACGUGAAGCUGGCAGCUCCUACUACUGUGCUAUGACCAAGCAGGGUAAAGGAAUAGCAUUACUACUUGUUAGGGAAACUCUUAUAUAUGUCGACCUCCAUCCUCAACGGACAGGCAGACUUGCAAAAAUGCUCAACCCUUCCUCAUAUCUGAGAGGGCACUCCCAACGAAGCCUCUCGAAAUACUCAGCUUUCUUUACCCCCGAUAAUACCUCUGCAAACAAGCUACACCAGAGCAAGAAUAUCUCAUAUCAUCAGGGUUAAAAGCAAGAGUAUCCCAUAUCAUGCUUUUUCCCUAUCUUUUCCUUUGACCUUGUUCUUACCUGCAAGACAAGGAGAAAGAGAGCAAUCAGUCAACACUUGGAAUCAAGCUUCCAGUCAGGAACUGACUGCCUGGAACCCCUUACCUGAUUACUUACCUGGCAUUGCUCUCGAGUACUCAUCUUCAACAUCUUAUACUUCCAGAGAAGAUACCACAUCUGCCUGAGGAAUAGAUAGGGCAAGUGAGAAGGAUACAAGGAAGUAUGUGGAGACAAGCGUAACAGAACACGCGUCGAUACAUCCACUACUUUGUCAACAGCAAAAGUAUCCCAUAUCAGCAGGGUCGAACGUACUCUAGAUUUGAUGGACUUGUUUUGACCCUCAAAUUCUUCAGUCGGCCUUAUACUCUGGAGGAAACCAGAAACCCCUCCAGCCCAGUUUAAGAAUAAGCCUGUGGAAAGUUACUUCUUCAAAAGAAAAAGUAUCUCAUAUCAUCUCUUCUCAUUUUUCUUCUCUUUAUCCUUCAUGCUGUCUGCAAGAUAGGGAGAAUGAGAACAAUCAGCCGGAACUCGAAAUCAAACUUCUGAUCUGGGACUAAUUGCUUGGAGCUCUGAUUGCUUACCUUGUUUGUCACCUCUUUCAGCAGAUCCCCUAGCUCGACGACUUGGGGGACUCCUACUAUAUGGUUUGUAUCGCGCUUGACCAAGCCUGAAACUACAAGUAAGCUUCAAGUGAAAUUGAUACAUUACCUUGUGCAUCUUCACCAGUUAAAGAUACCACCCCUGGAUGGAGGAAGAGUACUUCCAGAGAAGAUGUCACAUCUACCUAUGAGACAGAUAAGGCAAGUGAAGACGAUACCACACUUUGGUACUUAGAAGUUUCAUGAUUACGAGAUCAUUCUCCCACAAUAUUUCCUAAUGUCAUUUGUACUAAAUUAUUCACUUGUACUCAUUAAAGGAGAGCUUGAACCUAUGUACUUGUGUAAACCCUUCACAUUUAAUGAGAACUCCUUUACUCCGUGGACGUAGCCAAUUUGGGUGAACCACGUACAUCUUGUGUUUGCUUCCCUGUAUCUAUCUAUUUACAUACUUAUCCACACUAAUGACCGGAGCAAUCUAGCGAAGAUCACAAACUUAAUUUUUUCUGUUGUACCAAAGUCCUCACUAAUUUUGUGCACCAACAAUCCUUAAGUCCUUACCUUUUUGCGUUGGUAAUGGAUGAGUUAAUAGGACAUAUUCAAGAUGAUAUUCCUUGGUGUAUGCUUUUCGCAAACGAUAUAGUGUUGAUAGAUGAAACUUCGGAAGGGGUAAAUGCGAAGCUUAACCUCUGGAGAGAAGUGUUGGAAUCUAGAGGUCUUCGCCUAAGCCGAUCAAAGCUAGAAUAUAUGGAGUGCAAGUUCAGUGCAAAUGGAGGCCAAAAUGAGUUAGGGGUGAGGAUUGGAGAUCAAGAAAUACCAAAAAGCGACUGUUUUCGCUACCUAGGAUCUAUCUUGCAAAAGAACGGAGAAUUAGAUGGAGAUCUCAACCAUAGAAUACAAGCUGGAUGGAUGAAGUGAAAGAGUGCAUCCGGCGUGUUGUGUGACCGUCGUAGGCCACUGAAGCUCAAGGGAAAAUUUUAUAGGACGGCAAUAAGGCUGGCGAUGUUGUAUGGCACAGAAUGUUGGGCGGUGAAGCAUCAACACGUACACAAAAUGGGUGUAGCGGAGAUGAGGAUGCUUCGUUGAAUAUGUGGGCACACGAGAAAUGAUAAGAUUAGGAAUGAGGAUAUCCGAGGUAAAGUAGGAGUAGCCGAAAUUGAAGGAAAGAUGAGAAAAAAU
rnacentral:lncRNA from 1 species